rnacentral:hammerhead_ribozyme from 1 species
AGUCGAAACCGCCCACACGGGCGGUCUGGCAAAACUAACCUACUGCCACUGAUGAGACAGGUUAAA